rnacentral:rRNA from 1 species
GACGAACGCUGGCGGCGUGCCUAACACAUGCAAGUCGAACGAAGUGGCGAACGGGUGAGUAACGCGUAAUCAACCUGCCCUUCAGAGGGGGACAACAGUUGGAAACGACUGCUAAUACCGCAUACUGAAGGUGGGGAUGGCGGUUGAUUAGCUAGUUGGAGGGGUAACGGCCCACCAAGGCGAUGAUCAGUAGCCGGGCUGGGAGGGUGAACGGCCACAAUGGGACUGGGGCACGGCCCAGACUCCUACGGGAGGCAACAGUGGGGAAACUUCCGCAAUGGGGGAAAGGCCUACGGAGGAACGCCGGGGGGAGGAUGGAGGCCUUCGGGUUGGAAAGCUCUGCUAAUCAGGGAGCGGUACCGAAAUAGAAAGCCACGGCUAACUACGUGCCAGCAGCCGCGGUAAUUC